GUCUCUGCUAAAAAUACAAAAAUUAGCUGGGUGUGGUGGCAAGUGCCUGUAGUCCCAGCUACUUGGGAACCUGAGGCAGGAGAAUUGCUUGAACCCAGGAGGUGGAGGUUGCAGUGAGCCGAGAUCAGCCAUUGCACCCCAGCCUGAGCAACAAGAGUGAAACUCCAUCUCAAAAAAAAAAAAAAAAGAAGAAGAAGAAAGAAAAAGAAAAAGAAAUAAAGCUAAUACAUUCUGGGCUUAAUACCUAGGUUAUGAGCUGAUAAGUGCAGCAAACCAGCAGAGCACAGUUUGUUUACCUAUGUAACAAACCUGCACAUUUGCACAUGCACUUCAGAACUUGAAUAAAAUAAAAUAACUUUGUGUGUUUUCUUUCAGACUUAAAAAAAAAAAAUUUAUAGGGCCGGGCGCAGUGGCUCACGCCUGUAAUCCCAGCACUUUGGGAGGCCGAGGCGGGUGGAUCACGAGGUCAAGAGAUCGAGACCAUCCUGGUCAACAAGGUGAAACCCUGCCUCUACUAAAAAUACAAAUAUUAGCUGGGCAUGGUGGCGCGUGCCUGUAAUCCCAGCUACUCAGGAGGCUGAGGCAGGAGAAUUGCCUGAACCCAGGAGGUGGAGGUUGCGGUGAGCCGAGACUGCACCAUUGCACUCUAGCCUGGGUAACAAGAGUGAAACUCCAUCUAAAAAAAAAAAAAAAUUUAUAGAGUAGAAUAUAAGCCUAGCUGAAACAAAUACAAAUUAACACUUGCAAAAGAACAGAAGAAAAGUACCACUUGAAAUAAAGGCAAAUAUUCUUUUAGGUUUUUUUUUAAAGGCAUUUUUACCGACAUGCAAGGCAUGUGUGUACUGCUAUCAUCAGAUGUAUGUGUAUUACUAAUAUAAAAUAUAUUCUGUUUUUAUUCAUUUUCUUUCUCAUCAUGACAAAUCCUUCAGUAAUGUUGGCUUGAGCUUUGUGUUCCCAUGCAAGGAUGAUUUUCCUGUAAAUUAGAGCAAAAAGAAAAAAGCCUUGUAAAUCAUCUCUCUCACUUAACUUGCCCAUUGUCCUCCUCUGCAGGAAACCUACAGGUUGCAGAAGAAAAUGGCUGGUGGAAAUGCAGAGGGAAGAAUAACGUGGUUCUGAAACGAGGCUGGAGUGCAGUGGUGAGAUCUCGAGGCUUGCUGCAACCUUCACCUCCCAGGUUCAAGUGAUUCUCCUGCCUCAGCCUCCAGAGUGGCUGGGACUACAGGCCCAGGUAAUUUUUGUAUUUUUAGUAGAGAUGGGGUUUCACCACGUUGACCUCAUGAUCUCGAUCUCUUGACCUCAUGAUCUGCCCGCUUUGGCCUCCCAAAAUACUGGGAUUACAGGCGUCAGCCACCAUGCCUGGCCUCAAAUGCUGUAUUUCUAAGAUGUGUGCAGCCAAUUUGUAAUGUAUUUCUCUGCUUCUCUACACUGCUGCAAGGACCCUCUAAUUCAGUGCUGUCACCAGGCAGACUUAAAAUCCUGAAGCCCAAAGAGGGUCAAAAAUUGCCCCAAAUUAG
rnacentral:lncRNA from 1 species